rnacentral:rRNA from 1 species
GACAGAGGGUGCAAACGUUGUUCGGAAUUACUGGGCGUAAAGCGCGUGUAGGCGGCCAUCUAAGUCGGGCGUGAAAUCCCACGGCUCAACCGUGGAAGUGCACUCGAAACUGGAUGGCUAGAGUCCUGGAGAGGAAGGUGGAAUGCUUGGUGUAGAGGUGAAAUUCGUAGAUAUCAAGCGGAACACCGGUGGCGCAGGCGGCCUUCUGGACAGUGACUGACGCUGAGACGCGAAAGCGUGGGGAGCAAACAGG